UGUUGUCAUUGUGUUGCAAUGUUGCUGUCAUUUGUAUUAUACAAUCCAUUCUGACAAUAAAAUAUAGCUGCUUUACUAUGUGGCUAUAUAGAUAUACAUAAUAUUAAAGGUGCAAAUAUGGUCAGUUUUGGUUGAUGCUGUAAAAUAAUUUUGUUAUACAAGUCAGCCUGAGGUAUCAAAACUACUGAAAUUUUCUUAAGAGACAAUAUUUUGAAUAAAAAGAGGACAUGCUGGCUAUCUAGAUUGAUGGGAAUAAAUUUUUGUUGUCAUUGUAUUGCAAUGUUGCUGUCAUUUGUAUUAUACAAUCCAUCCUGACAUCAAAAUAUUUCUGAUUUACUAUGUGGCUAUAUAGAUAUACAUAAUAAUGUGCAAAUAUGGUCAGUUUUUGUUGAUGCGUUUCAAUAAUUUUGUUAUACUAGUCAGCCUUAGGUAUCAAAAUUACUGAAAUUUUGUUGCGAGACAAUAUUUUGAAUAAAAAGAGGACAUGCUGGCAAUCUUAAUUGAUGGGGAUAAUUUUUGUUGUCAUUGUGUUGCAAUGUUGCUGUCAUUUGUAUAAUGCAAUCCAUUCUGACAACAAAAUAUUGCUGAUUUACUAUGCGGCUAUACAUGUUUAGAUUUACAUAAUAAUAAAAUGCAAAUAUGGUCAGUUUUGGUUGAUUCGUUUAAAUAAUUUUGUUAUACGAGUCAGCCUGAGGUAUCAAAACUACUGAAAUUUUGUUGCGUGACAAUAUUUUGAAUAAAAAGAGGACAUGCUGGCUAUCUAGAUUGAUGGGAAUAAAUUUUUGUUGUCAUUGUAUUGCAAUGUUGCUGUCAUUUGUAUUAUACAAUCCAUCCUGACAUCAAAAUAUUUCUGAUUUACUAUGUGGCUAUAUAGAUAUACAUAAUAAUGUGCAAAUAUGGUCAGUUUUUGUUGAUGCGUUUCAAUAAUUUUGUUAUACUAGUCAGCCUUAGGUAUCAAAAUUACUGAAAUUUUGUUGCGAGACAAUAUUUUGAAUAAAAAGAGGACAUGCUGGCAAUCUUAAUUGAUGGGGAUAAUUGUUGAUGUCAUUGUGUUGCAAUGUUUCUGUCAUUUGUAUUAUACAAUCCAUUCUGACAAUAAAAUAUAGCUGCUUUACUAUGUGGCUAUAUAGAUAUACAUAAUAUUAAAAGUGCAAAUAUGGUCAGUUUUGGUUGAUGCUGUAAAAUAAUUUUGUUAUACAAGUCAGCCUGAGGUAUCAAAACUACUGAAAUUUUCUUAAGAGACAAUAUUUUGAAUAAAAAGAGGACAUGCUGGCUAUCUAGAUUGAUGGGAAUACAUUUUUGUUGUCAUUGUAUUGCAAUGUUGCUGUCAUUUGUAUUAUACAAUCCAUCCUGACAUCAAAAUA